UACGUAGGGGGCAAGCGUUGUCCGGAUUUAUUGGGCGUAAAGAGCGUGUAGGCGGCCAGACAGGUCUGCUGUGAAAACUCGAGGCUCAACCUCGAGACGCCGGUGGAAACCGUCUGGCUAGAGUCCGGAAGAGGAGAGUGGAAUUCCUGGUGUAGCGGUGAGAUGCGCAGAUAUCAGGAAGAACACCCCGUGGCUAAGGCGGCUCUCUAGUACGGUACUGACGCUGAGACGCGAAAGCGUGGGGAGCGAACAGG
rnacentral:rRNA from 1 species